GAUGAACGCUGGCGGCGUGCCUAAUACAUGCAAGUAGAACGCUGAAGGAGGAGCUUGCUCUUCUGGAUGAGUUGCGAACGGGUGAGUAACGCGUAGGUAACCUGCCUGGUAGCGGGGGAUAACUAUUGGAAACGAUAGCUAAUACCGCAUGACAACAGUUAUUGCAUGAUAACUGUUUAAAAGGGGCAACUGCUCCACUACCAGUUGGACCUGCGUUGUCUUAGCUAGUUGGUGAGGUAACGGCUCACCAAGGCGACGAUACAUAGCCGACCUGGGAGGGGGGUCGGCCCCCCUGGGACUGGGGCCCGGCCCCGACUCCUACGGGAGGCAGCCGUAGGGGAUCUUCGGCAAUGGACGGAAGUCUGACCGGGCAACGCCGCGUGAGUGAAGAAGGGUUUCGGAUCGGAAAGCUCUGUUGUAAGGGAAGAACGAGUGUGAGAGUGGAAAGUUCACACUGUGACGGUAUCUUACCAGAAAGGGACGGCUAACUACGUG
rnacentral:rRNA from 1 species